rnacentral:rRNA from 1 species
UUACUACAUAUAUGCUGUAUAUUUUUACACGAAAGGUGGUGAGUUAAAUAUAAUUAGUAAUAGAUAUUAAUUGUUACGUGGUAUAGUAACAUAAUAGUUAUAUUUUGUAGUGAUAGGCCUACCAAGCUUCUUGAUAACUUGCUGUGUAAGAAAUAUAUUUAGUAUCAACUCAUACUAUAAAAGUUAAGCUUUAUAGUAAAUAUAAAAGAUAAAAAAGUAUUUAGUGCUAUAGUUUAAUCAUUAAGCUAUCUUAAAUAAUAAUAUAUAUAAUGUAUUUUUAUAUUUUUUAUUACACUAUAUUUUAUUACUUAUAAUAUAAAUUAUGUAAGUAUAAGUAGUAAGAUUAAAUAUACUAAAGGAACUCGGCAAAUAAGCUGUUCAACUGUUUAUCAAAAACAUAACUAUAUGACAAAACAUAUAGCUUUUCUGCUCAAUGGGGACCUAAAUAGCCGCAGUACUCUGACUGUGCAAAGGUAGCAUAAUCAAUUGGCUUUUAAUUAAAGUCUGGGAUGAAUGAAAGCAUGGGUAGUGACUGUCUUGCUAGUAUAGUAUAUCGAAUUUAAUAAGUAAGUGAAAAUACUUACUAUCAUAAAAAAGACGAGAAGACCCUAGAAACUUCUAUAUUUAUUUUGUUGGGGCGACAGAAUUACAAUUAACUAAUUUUAUUAUACAAGACGUAGUGCAGUUAGAUUAAGUUACUCUAGGGAUAACAGCAUAAUUUUUACAGUUUGUGACCUCGAUGUUGGACUAGGUAUAUAAUUUUUUAAAAGGAAAUUUGAACGCUCUGUUCGAGCAAUAAAACCUACAUGAUCUGAGUU